CUCCUACAUAUGUAUGGUCCAAUUUAGUAAACAGAAGUCGCUUGAGGAUCAUGCACAAGGCAUCGGAAUACAGAUAAAAAAUUUGAAAAUGGUGUUUAAAUGUGAUUUUAAGUUCUUUACACUUAGCUUCUCACAACAUAAUAUCCUGAAUUGCCUCAAUUCAACCAUUUAUGACGGUUUUCAGUCAUACUUUAUGCUUGUCAAAGGUGGUCUUCUGGAACAUCUCUUUUAGGACACCACAUACUGACAUACAUUUAUGAAAAAGAAGUGCUGCAUCAAAAUUGACAUCGGAAACCUCUACUUUUGGCCUAAAUUAGCGUGCCUUUGAGUUCCUUACAGUUAAAAAGGGCAGGUCUAGUAUAUCUUCAUAGUCUAGACGUAAAUAAGAUUCAACAAAUUAACUUAGUAGUAUAGACUAUAUAAUUGUACUGUUUAAUAUUAGAGUAUAUGGUAGUUAGAGUCAUAUUAGGAUAUGAUUGAUUUAUGUGGAUUUUUUCCAUAUCUGUAAUCCUUCCUUAUCUCAUGUAUCUAUAUACUGGCCCCUGAGGCUCUAAUACCAUGUUAAAUAUAAUACUUCCUUAUCUCUACCCUAUUUAUUUCCUAUAUAUGCGGGCUCCUAAGGCUCAAUAGAAUGUGUCCAAUAUUCGCAGUAAUCUCCUCUUCCUAUACUAUUCAACAUUUAUUUACCUGAUCAUUUUUGCUGAACCAAAUCCAAGACUGUCAUGAAAUAGGCUUGUCAUGUACUUCUUCUGUGCAAGGCACAAAAGCUCUGAGCUGUUGUAUAUAGGGGGCAGGUAUGCUUCCCCAUUCCCAUCUUUGUGUUUAUUCCAUAAUUCGACAAACUUCUUGUGGAACAAAUUCCAUGAAUCUUCAAUUGUCUUCAAGAUCCAUUUCUUGUAAGCCUGAAAAAUAUGUACAGUCAUAUAACUUAUUUUAUGCCCCGUGAUACAUCAUGAAAAUACCUUCUAAAAUCUAGAUGCUGCCAUUGCACUUUGCCAUAUAACUUGUCAUUUCUGCAGUUCCCAUUACUCAGGGACAUUCAAGUGAUGAGUAAGGCAAGUUAUUCAACUUAUUGUCUGCCGAGCACCCUCCUCCCUCUGUUACAUACGGCAUAUCUCAACAAUAUCAAUUGCUAAUUAUUCUAUAGGAUACAAGUACACAGGAAGACAUGUGGUUGCCAUUAUCUUAGCAAACGCAAAACAACUUAACCACCCAAAAAGAAAAACUAUCUUUUUGUCACAUAAAAAAAAAAGAGGACAUUUGUGGACCAGGUAAAAGUACACACUUUCAUUUACUAUUAUUAGCCAAUAAAUCCAUACAUACCUUACGAUCAUUUGCUUGAUCAGCGUGUCCAUCUUGUGAAAAAUAUGCCAAAAUCAAGUUCCCCAGGAAGGCCCCAAUGUCGUAACCCAUUGGGCCAUAGAAAGCAAAUUCUGGAUCAAUCACUUGAGUAGAAUCUGGUGUCACCAUGAUGGAACCAGUGUGGAGAUCUCCAUGAAGAAGAGCCUGUGCUCUCUCAAUAAACCUGCAUAUGCAAAUCAUGUCCAUCAUCUCCAAUAUGAAAAGAAAAGAAAAGCGCUGGUUUAAUCUGGAAAGAUAGUUACAUUGAUUUCAAUUCAGCAAUCUCCAAUUUAAGCUCAGCAUCCUCUCGAACCGCUGCAGCAUCAUUAUCUAGGAAGGGUGAUGUGCAACGAUUGUAUUUGGCGAGCAUGUAUGGGUCUGAGAACACGACUUGCUCUGUGAGCCUACACAUCUCCACAUUAUCGCAGUACUGAGCAACUGCAGUUCACAGAACACAAACAUUCCAUCAAUUUGGUUAUCAUUUUUCUCCCUUUUCAUAGUCACAGAACACAACAUUCUAUCAAUUUGGUUCUCAUUUUUCUCCCUUUUCACAGGCAAACCAAACCUGUAUAAUAAAUCAACCAACCUCCUUUCUUGUGAUCAGUGGUGGAGUUGUAGAGAAGGGAGGUGAAGAAGAGCGUCUUGGCCAUGUAAUCCGCCAUGUGCUCGGCGAGCAGCGGGUACUCGACGCCAGCGAUGAGGCCCUUGCGGAGGAUGAUGUGCGGCGGCUCGAUGUAGCGCAUCCCGAUCAGCGACAUGGCCCGGUCGAAGUGGUAGACCUCGGGGACAUGGUCCGGGCAGAGGCCGCGGUGCUUCUGCAGCGCGGAGGCCUCGAAGUAGGCGCGCUCCCUCGUCAUCGGCCACGAAUCCCCCACGCAGCGGAUGUACGGCAGCGCCUGGAUUGCAGCGUCGUCAGCGGAGGAACGGAGAGAGAAGAUGCGUACAUGUGUGGCGGCGGCGGCGCGUGGAGGAGAUAGGGACCUGCUUGAUGACGACGGAGCCGGCGUCGGAGAGGACGAUGUAGACGAAGUUGAGGUUGCCGUCGCCGACCUCCUUGAUGGUGAGGGCGUCGAGGCUGCCGCCGAGGCGCGCGGCGAGGGCGGGCGUGGCCUUGAUGUAGGCCACCAGGGACGCCUCGUCGAGCGGGCGGAAGCCCUGCUGCUGCUGCUGCUGCUGCUGCUCCGCCGCCGCGGCCAUGGCCGGUGCGUGUGUGGCCGUGGCGUCGAGUUGACCGAUGCGAGCGCCGGCGGCGAAGUGGCCGCGACCCGCGAGAGGAGUGGGGAAUCGAGUGCGCGUGUGUGGGAGGCUGCGCUGCGCGGAGGUGUGUGGGUUUUGUAACAGCUGCUGCUUUCGCGGAAGGGGGCGGUUCUCUGAACCUGGACUUGUUAUUGGUACAAGGCGGAUUCUUCAGUUGAGUCGUGUCAUCAGUGUGAGCUAAUCUUGAGGAGUUCAUGCUAUCUUUGAGUUUUCAAUCCAGGCCGUGUUUAGAUUCAAAAUUUUUUAAAUUUUUUUUAACUUUUUCAUCACAUCAAAUAUUUAGACACAUAUAUAGAGGAUUAAAUAUGAUGAAAAAAAACAAUUGCACAGUUUGUAUGUAAAUCGCGAGACGAAUCUUUUGAGCCUAAUUACACCAUGAUUUGACAAUGGGAUGCUACAGUAAAUAUUUGCUAAUAACGGAUUAAUUAGGCUUAAUAAAUUUGUCUCGCAGUUUACAGGCGGAAUCUGUAAUUUGUUUUGUUAUUAGUCUACGUUUAAUACUUCAAAUAUGUGUCUGUAUCCUUAAAAAAAUUGGCACACAAACUAAACACAUCCUAGUAUACUGCUAAUUUUGAACUGAAUGUGGCUUCUGGUCAUUGGAUUUGGUGAAUUUUCCUCUCUGUUCCAAAAUAUACCAUCAUUUAUGUUAUCUCUAUAUUACCACUCCAUCUGUUUCAUAUUGUAAAAAUUUUCUACAAUUGACCAUUGUUAAUGAAUCUAGACAUAACAUCCAUAUAAAUAUGGGUAAUGCUAGAAAAUUUUAUAAUAUGAAACGGAGAAAGUAUUAAAGUUGAGUCAUCCUCCGUUCAUCUCCUUCUCCCACCGCUCGUGCAGUCUAUUUGUCCGCUCCUUCUCAAAUCAUGUACACAACCUCCGUAUGAUACGGUACUUUAUCCUCAAUUACCUUCCUAGCCCUUUCUUACUCGUCUCAAUUGUAUGUUCGAUCUGUUAUAAUGCAUGAAUAUAUGUUGCUAAUAAAUCUGAAUAAGUGUUUGUUCACUUAUAGCAGUAUUUUAGGACGGAUGAAAUAAAUAAAAUUGUUUUCUCGAAAAAAUAAAAAAAAACUAAUGAAUCUUUCACUCAUGCUUCAGGCUACCAAUGGUGGUGUGCCUUCGGUUGAAGUUGGAAUUUUCUAGCAAAUCAACCAUAAUCGAAAUGUUCUCAUAUAGAUAUAUAGAAACAUGCCAUGCCUACAUAAUUUUUCUGAAAAAAACAGCUCUAAGAUAAGGACCAUAUAUUCAUUUGAUAGAAUGAAACGGUUACUAUGUUCGUUUGUGUGUUUAUUAGAAAAAGAAAUUUAUUGUGAUAUUUUAGAGGAUUACAAUUCACAAUUAUUGUGUCCCUUCAAUGAACUCUGCGAGUUGAUAAGGUAGCAUCCGAACGAUUAAUCAGUUGGUACGCAUGUUCCACGCUGUUCUUUUCAACAAACAGGGAGAAUAUAUCGACUGUGUUUGGCCCCAUACUUCGGCUUGAUGUCGCCGUCAAUGCUAGCAUCAUGUAUCUUCAAAAUGACAUCAUAUCCAAAUAAAAGCAGCAUGAAAGUGCCAGUCCUCCAUAUUAAACGGCAUGAAACUAGCUCACAAGACAAAAAUCAUUAUAGUAUUCUCAUGACCAAGCGAACCAUAGUGAGAAAGUUGACAAACUCUAUUAUAUUCACCGGAUGAACUAGAAUGUUCAAAGUAUAGAUAGGUCUUUUGGAGAACUUCUAGCAUGUACAGUUUCUUCCAAAAUCUCCAAUUCCCUAAAUAAUCAUAUUAUGAGAUUUUAUAGCUAUAGAAUCCAGAAAAAAAUGUGUAAAGUACACGGGCGGUCCUUAAACUUAUAGCGGUGUGUCAUCUAGGUCAUUAAACUCUCAAAAUGCAUAUCCAAGUCACAGAACUUGUCAUAGUGUGUCAUCUAGGUCCCAGAUCACCACAAAUCCUUCAGGAUCCUACGUGGUGCGGAUGUGGCAUGUCACACGAACAUGAUGUGGCAUAAUUUUGACUGACAAAUAGGACCCAUUUAAAAAUUUUAUUUCUUUCUUUUUUUUCUUCUCUUGCAUUUUCCUUUCUUCUCCUUUGUCUGUGACCCGAGCAAAAGAGAGGGGAAAAAAACAAGAAUAAGAAGAAAACAGAAAAGAAAAAGAAAAGAAGAAAAAAAAGGACAUGUCACGUCCAUGUGGCAGGUCACAUCAGCGCCACGUAGGAUCCAAGAGGGGAUGUGUCGAUUUGGGACCUAGAUGAUACACUUUGAUAAGUUCUAGGGCCUGGAUAUGCAUUUUGAGAGUUUGGGGGAUCUAGAUGACAUACCGCUACAAGUUUAAGUACCGCUCGUACACUUUACUCGAAAAAAAAUCUACGAGGAAGCUAAGGAAAACCUACUUUGUAGAUUAAAUUCUGAGAAAUGGAAAUCUAGUUGUGAGAGCAUAAAAAAGCAGGGAAAACCAGUUUUUUAGCUUUUAUUAAGAUUCUUUUGAAUCUAGAUAAAAAGUUAAAUUGUUUGGGGAAGCUUUUGCCAUUCAACCGACUGAUUCUUACAAACUUAGCCAAGUGGUGAAAAAAAAACAUCAAUCUUGCAGAGCGUCCACACUUGAGCAUGCAUAAUGUAUAGUAGAACUAGUCCAUAAAGAAUACAAUAUUUCAUUCAGCCACCUAACAACAUUGUAGAACUAGUCCAUAUCAAGCAAAUAGCAAAAGUCACCCAUAAACAUAUGAGUUGCCUAUAUAGAAUAAAAUAUAUUAUUUAUCUCUGCUUUCUCUCUCCUUCUAAUACUACUAACUACCUAUAUAUAUUACAUCCUUCGUUUCACAAUGUAAGUCAUUCUAGCAUUUCCCACAUUCAUAUUGAUGUCCAUGAAUCUAGAUAGAUAUAUAUGUCUAGAUUCAUUGACAUCAAUAUGAAUGUGGAAAAUGCUAGAAUGACUUACAUUGUGAAACGGAGGGAGUAUGAAGGUUACAAUAGGUAAAUCCCACAUAUGUGGGUCCAUCUGUAUGGACUACUUUGGCUAUAUACAUUGUUGUUGCCCAGCCCACAUAUAACCGGCCAAUUCUGCUUUAUAAUAGGCACAGAUAAUCGCUGAUGGUAAACAGAUGAAAACUUUUGUCUCCUCAAUCAGAAAGGUUGUGUAGAUGGUUAGCCUUAUCAGUCCCGAUCAAACGAUUGUACAUGCACAAUCACUUGCUCGAUGCUUUCAAACUGGCGUCUUCCCUUCAGGAUUGCCUUUGCACAAUUAAGGGCACGUCGCUCACACGAAGCUCUCUUGCUGGCAUCCUCAAUCGACUCAAAAUCCUCAACAUGAGCAAUUCCAACAAUUCUCCUACAUAUGUAUGGUCCAAUUUAGUAAACAGAAGUCGCGUGAGGAUCAUGCACAAGGCAUCGGAACACAGAUAAAAAAUUUGAAAAUGGCGUUUAAAUGUGAUUUUAAGUUCUUUACACUUAGCUUCUCACAACAUAAUAUCCUGAAUAGCCUCCAAUUUAACCAUUUAUGACGGUUUUCAGUCAUACUUAUAAUCGUCAAAGGUGGUCUUCUGGAACAUCUCUUUUAGGAUAGCACAUACUGAUAUACAUUUAUGAAAAAGAAGUGCUGCAUCAAAAUUGGCAUCGGAAACCUCUACUUUGGACUAACUUACUGUGCCUUUGAGCUUCUUACAUUUAAAAAGGGCAGGUCUAGUAUAUCUUCAUAGUCUAGACGUAAAUAAGAUUCAGCAAAUUGACUUAGUAGUACAGACUCUACAUAAUUGUACUGUUUAAUUACCUGAUCAUUUUUGCUGAACCAAAUCCAAGACUGUCAUGAAAUAGGCUUGUCAUGUACUUCUUCUGUACAAGGCUCAAAAGCUCUGAGCUGUUGUAUAUAGGGGGCAGGUAUGCUUCCCCAUUCCCAUCUUUGUGUUUAUUCCAUAAUUCGACAAACUUCUUGUGGAAAAAAUUCCAUGAAUCUUCAAUUGUCUUCAAGAUCCAUUUCUUGUAAGCCUGCAAAAUAUGUACAGACAUAGAACUUAUUUUAUGCCUGGCGAAACAUCAUGAAAAUACCUUCUAGAAUCUAGAUGUUGCAAUUGCACUUUGCCAUAUCAUAACUUGUCAUUUCUGCAGUUCCCAUUAAGUACUCCCUCCAUUUCAUAUUAUAAGUCGUUUGACUUUUUUCUUAGUCAAAGUUCUUUAGGUUUGACCAGAUUUAUAGAAAAAAAUUAGCAACAUUUACAACAGCAAAUUAGUUUAAUUAAAUUUAACAUAGAAUAUAUUUUGAUAAUAUGUUUGUUUUGUAUUGAAAAUGUUAUUCUAUUUUUCUACAGAUUUGGUUAAACUUAAAAAAAAUUGACUAAGAAAAAAAUCAAACAACUUAUAAUAUGAAACGGAGGGAGUAAUACUCAGGGACAUUCAUCGUCUGCUGAGCACCCUCCUCCCUCUGUUACAUACGGCAUAUAUCAACAAUAUCAAUUGCUAGUUAUUCUAUAGGAUACAAGUAUCAUGUUCCAAACUUCUAUCCUAUCGAAAUUAGUACACAGGAAGACAUGUGGUUGCCAUUAUCUUAGCAAACGCAAAACAACUUAACCACCCAGGUAAGAUUACGCACUUUCAUUUACUAUUAUUAGCCAAUAAAUCC
rnacentral:lncRNA from 1 species